rnacentral:lncRNA from 1 species
UUGUGUCCAAUAUAGAUUUUUUUUUCUUCCCUUGGAGCUUAAUUUCCCAUUUAGAAAGCUCCUCUCUUGAUAGCAUCGUCAUUAGCAUUUCCAAGGGCAGCUUCACUCAAAUAUUUGUCAGCCAAUUGAACCCUCUUCACGUUCUCUUGUUCAGCAACAAGCAUGUUUCCAUACUCCAACAGCUUCUCAAUGGUCAUCGUAGGUUGCUCGAAAGAUGGUGGCCCUUCCCUCGAGUUCACGAGCUUUUUCCCGACACUAUUGACUCCUACCUCUCCGAUCCAUUUCCUCACUUCGUCAUCGUAAACCCUGGCCCUUAGAGCACCGAAAAAGUCUACAAAUUGAACCAACACACAUGCAAAUACACCGUUAAUGAUAAUUCCUAUGGGAUCUAAUUAUGGUUAAUUUAAUCUGAAUAAAUUCGAUACUUCUACUUUUAUAAUGUUAUCAGAAUGUCUAAAUUGAUAACAUUAUUAGCUGUUAAAUAAUUGAUGACUAAAUAGACUUAAAAUUUGGCUGAAAUGUAAAUUUAUUGUAGAUUGAAUAUGAUGCUAUCAAUUUAGACCUAUUAAUAGGAUUGUAAUCGAGCUCAGCUGAGCUCAUAUACUGAGAAGUUCAAGCUCAAAUUUAAUUUAGAACUCACUGCUCGAAACUUAGGUCAAGCUCAAUCAAUUAUUACUAUAUAAGCUUGAGGUCAAUUAAGCUCAUUCACACACAAUUGUAUAGUCAAACUCGAGUUUAAGCUUGGCCUCGUGCUAUAUACCGAUUUGUUUAGAUGAACUAUUAAUUUAUUAUCAAAUUAUUAAAAUAAAUUAAUAAAAUAUACAAAUUAGGCUCACAAGUUGUUCCAAUCAAGUACUAAAAUACUUGAAUUCUGACUUACUCAAUAGCUUGAGUUGCUUGAGAAUGAUUGAAUCAGAUUCGAAUUUUUAAAUCAAACUUGAAUAUUGUAAGCACACCAGAUUAGAAGUAUUAACUUUUGAAUUUUAGCAUUGUGGAGGGACUAAAACAAAAAUUAGACCUUUGUAUAGAGACCAUGAAUUGAAAAAGUGUUGAACGAGAAGCUUACCAAUGGAUUGGCCCGGGAAGGUGUCAACAAGCUUAACAAUGUCAUCAACGGGAACAUUGUCGGUCCUGAAAAUACCUGUGCAAACACCGAUCCUAUCUUCCCUGGUGGGUGCCCAGUAAAACUUCUCCAUACGACCGUCACGGAUGAGCGGCGCGUACAGCGUCGAGAAAUCGUUACCGGUGACAAUGAUCGGAACACGAGGGUUCUCUUCCUUGUUGUACAUACCGGGGAGCUGAACGUUGGUGGGGUUAUCAGCGAUGUUCAUGAGUGUGGCGUUCACCAUUUGGUUGUUCACUGUGUAUUGUGUGGUUCCUCCCAUACGACCGGCUCCAGCGUCGAGAUCGUUGAUAAAGAGGCAACACAUUUUCCCUUUCUUGAUAAUGUCGGCGGCCUCACGGUACCUUUGCCUGAUCAACUUGGCUGGUUCUCCGGCGUUCCCACUUUCCAAUUCUCCGGCACUCAUCAUAAUGGGGCUGUAAUGUUAAUUCAUUAUAGCAAUUCAUUAGCAUGUUUCUAUUUGCACAAUAGACCCUAAAUAUUUACAUAUUUCAUUAAUUUUGACUCUACUUUUAAAAAACCAACCAAAUUAAUCCUCAAUUUUAUACAUUUUUAUCUAUUUUAAUCAUUAAAGUUAUUGACAUUUAGUGUUAUAAUCACCUCUGUUAAGGCAAAUUUUUGUUUAGCUCAUCUAUAGAUUGUAAAAUUUUAAGUUAACACAAAAGAAUAAUUGCAUUUUGCUUCUAAAAAAAUUAUAAUUAAAUUCUAAACCCUCUAAAAAUAGAAAAGUUAUAAUUUUAACCCUCUAAAACUAGUAAAAUUUUAAGUUAAUACAAUAAUAAAAUUGCUAUCUUAAUAUCUCUAGAAAUUUAUAGUUUAAUUAUAGCACACAAAAUUUUUUGACUUCAUCGGUGGCCAUGUAAUCAAGACCUUGAAUUUGCAUCUAAAAAAACAUGAACUCACUUGAUUCCCAUCUUGGCAAAGACAAGCUCACAUUGGAAAGAUUUUCCUUGACCUUUGCCUCCCCAAAUACCCAAGAUAAGAGGAACCUGUAAGAGAAACAAUUGUAGUAAAAUUUGGUAAAUUUAAUUCUAUUUUAUUUAAAAAAAAAAAAAGAGAUUUCACUAUAUAUGUUAUAGGUGACACACAUACCUUAAUGUUAGGAAGGGUCAUGUAGUUCUUGGUGAUGUGAACAACAAGCUUGUCCAUGAAAGCUGGGGCAAUGUAGAAUCCAUCCAUGUUGUUGUCCAAGUCGU